UUUCAGGAGCUGGUUGUCUACUGUUUGAUUACAUGAACUAAUAAAGAGAGAUGUCAGUUGAAAAAAAGAAUGUGCAGUUGAAUUGCUCCUGAACUGGGCAAAGGUCUGAAGGGGACAAUAUUGAUCUUGCUUGCAGACGCAAAUUUGCCAGACUUAUGUGCAGACUGUCCGCAGAAUCCAUUUGUCAAUAAAAAGUGGAUGCAGUUGCAAAUACACUUCAUGAUGAAUCGCCACAAAGCAAUGAGUGGGAGAAUACAGAAUAGAAAAUGAACAGUCAGAAACAUGGAUUGACAGCAAAAUUCAGGGUCACGAUCCGCAUGCAACAAGGAACUAAAUCGGUACAUUCCUUAUCUGAUUGGAACUUCUGGAUCCUAGAACUUGCAAUUUUUUCAGCAAUGUGAUGUGCCCUUGCAAGGCAGACAAAGAAGCCAAGAAACUGAAGACACUCCAGUACAGCAACACUGAGCAGAAAGGUGUGGAUUUCAAUUCAAUUAAGAUAAUGAAAGUUUGGAAAGGUUCCAAAAAUUAAAUGUGAUGAGCAUGAAUACCCCGCAAAAUUUUCCAUAAGUCUGUCUGCUGAAACCCUGGAGCAUGCA